rnacentral:rRNA from 1 species
UACGUAGGGGGCAAGCGUUGUCCGGAUUUAUUGGGCGUAAAGAGCGUGUAGGCGGCCAAGCAGGUCCGCUGUGAAAACUCGAGGCUCAACCUCGAGACGUCGGUGGAAACCGUUUGGCUAGAGUCCGGAAGAGGAGAGUGGAAUUCCUGGUGUAGCGGUGGAAUGCGCAGAUAUCAGGAAGAACACCAACGGCGAAGGCAGCUCGCUGGGACGGUACUGACGCUGAGACGCGAAAGCGUGGGGAGCGAACAGG